CCUGUCCACUGACACGAUCUCUAUUUUUGAAUGGCCCAUUCCCAACUCGGGCAUCAUCUCUGGCAAGUUCCUAAAAAAGACACGCAUCCUCAAGCCAGACUCCACCAUGGAGAAGCCCGAGUACUACUCACCUGCAGAUUUUGCGAUUGGAGCCACCAUAGAAAUUUUCAGCCACCACUUUGUGUUGACCAACGCUGCCCGCUUUGUGCUCACGUACUUGGAGUCCAUGGCGAGUCAGAUUCCCGCACGCACGUUGGACUCGUUGCGCCAGAAGAUGGGCGUGCAGACGACAGAUAACUAGCCGGAUCGACAUGUUUCAAUUUGGCCAUCUUAGAAAUGACUCUCUGCCGGCUCGUGGAGACAAAUCUCUGAGAUGUGGACGAACAGGCGACGGGACAAACACACCGAGGACACGGAGCAUCGACCAAUUCACUAAGAUGUUAAAUCAUCUUUGAUUUGGAUGGACGAGGACAGACUCCCAGUGACUUGCUACUGACACUUGGAGUCAUGUACAUAAAGUCUACCACUCUAUACUAUUAUAGUUUGUUUAUGUUCUGUUUUAAACUUGAAUGGGAUUAAACUGUGGCAAUAUCUCCUGUGCAUGGAUUCAAUUAUUUGUGUUUGUUUGUUUUAAACGUGCUGUUUUUGUUUUAUUACGUCAUAUUUUGCCUUUAAUUUAAUUGUAUUGUAUUAACUUUAUCUAUGCAGUUAAACUGAUGCAUUGCCCUCGGUCAGAGUGGGAUUUGUUGGCGUUGCCUGCCCCCUGGUGGUCAACAUUUGGCGCUACUGUUUGAAUAAAUUCUCCAUAAACUGACACAAA